AUGGAGAUGAUGGCAAAGAGCCAUGCCCAGGACUUUCCCCAAACCAUCGCUCAUGCUAAGCAACACUCGAAGAAGCCAGCAAACCAAACGGAUAGUAUCUACGUCUGUGGGGCUGGCAUACACAUGCCGGUGCUGCCUUCUUGCAUGAACAACUUCCAAGGGAAAAAGCACAUAACGGUGCUGCACGGCACGAGUAUUUCCAUGCUUUCCCGCGCAGAGCUGACCGCGGCUAGGCCGCUCUUCACAGUUGUGCUCGGCGGGCUGGUAGCUGGUUUGCUGCAAGCCAGAGGCAGUGACCGGCGGAGCAGCAAGGCGGUGACCAGGUUUCAAGGCAGCAGGCUGCGACCGACAAUGAGGGGAUUCUGCACCAUGAUGUCGUCUCAGCCAGUUCCAACUCCCACUCCAUCACCAGCAGAUAAAGGCAAAUAUGCCCUUGUUCUAAUUCCCGUUAAAUGGCUUAGCAGCCACUAUUGCCCCGCUACAGAUCGUUUUCUCCUCCCCUGCUUCGCCUCCUCCAGCCGGCUCGGGGGAGAAAACCUAAGCCCCCGCUACCACCUCCCCCCGGCCCUUCCUCGUCUCUCCGCCACAGGAGGUUGGCCACUAGUGAAGCUCUGGUCGGUCCCAAGCAGCGUCGCAACGGAAACUUGCUCCUUGCCGGCGAAGCGUGUACCUUCCUCCCUCCCACCCCCGUCGAGGGCUGCCAAUGCUGGCCAGGGAUCUCGUGCUGCUAUCUGGUGGCUCAUGCCCCAUAUCUGGCCUAGCCGGGGCCGGGCCGUGCUUGAUGGGGCACAGGUGGCACUCCCAACGGCUGCUGCUAAUAAGGGUUGGGGCUGGUCGCUACAUUUCUCGAUAGUGGUUGCAUCCGCUCAUACUGGUGAGGUUGCGGGAUGCAGCCGGAAGGCUCCACUGUGGGUUUUGGCAGCUCUCACUCUGGCUAGUUUGCCUUUAACAGUGAGAUGCAACCUAUGUAAGGCGACUUACCGCGGAGGGUAUGGUUGUGUAGUGGCGAUGGGUGAAAACAUAGAAUCUAGUCUUUGGUGGCUGGACCCGGUGACGGUGACGCUUGAUCGUCGUUCCCUUGAAGGCGUUGCUGUUGAAGAAACCUCAUUGUCCUUGGGCUUUUCAAGAGAUGGUUGGUGCAAAUAUGGCCAUUGUGUAAACACGUACCUCCAUGGCCGACAACAUGGUCCCUGGAGAGAGCGAGUCAGCGAGGUGGUGUGCGUCGACUUCUGGGCCAACCUAUUCGGCCUGCGGGUGCUGAUCGCGCUGCGCGAGCUAGGCGUGUCGUUCGACUACAUCGAGGAGGACCUCGGCAUCCACGAGAGGAGCGACCUGGUGCUGCGCAUGAACCCGGUCCACCGGAUGGUGCCCAUCCUCAUCCACCAUGGUCAUCCCAUCCAACUCCAACAACAUCCUCGAGUACAUCGACGAGGUAUGGGGUCACCGUCAUGCCGAAGCAGGUGGAACACAGUUGUUCCCUGCCAACCUGCUAGAGAGGGCUUCCGCCCGGUUCUGGGCCGAUUUCAUUGA
rnacentral:rRNA from 1 species